rnacentral:rRNA from 1 species
UACAGAGGUCUCAAGCGUUGUACGGAAUCACUGGGCGUAAAGGGUGCGUAGGCCGCACGGUAAGUCAGAGGUGAAAUCCCGGAGCUCAACUCCGGAAUUGCCUCCGAUACUGCCGUGCUUGAGGACUGGAGAGGAGUCUGGAAUUCACAGUGGAGCAGUGAAAUGCGUAGAUAUUGUGAGGAACACUAGUGGCGAGGGCGAGACUCUGGACAGUUCCUGACGCUGAGGCACGAAGGCCAGGGGAGCAAACGGG